rnacentral:tRNA from 1 species
GAUGAGGUGGCUAAGUGGUUAAGGCGAUGGACCACUAAUCCAUUGUGCUCUGAACGCGUGGAUUUGAUUCCCAUCCUUGUUC